rnacentral:lncRNA from 1 species
CUAUUCUGUAGUAUUUGUUGUAGUAGCUCAAACUAAGACGCAAAUAAAUUGUUUAACCCAAUAAAAUUGUUUAAAGAUUUUUUCUCUUGAUACUUGAUAAUUUUAACAAACAUGUACUGAAUUGACAAGUAACUUUAAGUGUGUUGCUUACUCUCUAGGAUCCUCGGUUCUUCAGUUACUAUAAUUCACCUUAUGAAGUUCCAGAUAUAAGAUAUAUUCAAACCCAUCAAGGAAAAAUUACUGAUUGGGUUUCAGAAAGGAUUUUACACCUCAGACAGGAGAGGAGUAAUGGCCAUGGCUGCCCUGGGCCUCUCUCUGCAGGAUGCAGGCAGCUGCCGUCCGGUGGAAGCUCUAAGUUCAGAAAUAAAGGCCAUAACCUGCCGAGCGUAUUUGUAGUAAGAUGCCAUACAAAUUCAAGUGAUCUCUGCACCCAACGUGGGGCUCAAACUCACUACCCUGAGAUCAAGACUCAGUUGCUCUACCGACUGAGCCAGCCAGGUACACCCAAUUCUCCUUCUUCUUUUUUAAACUUCAGAGUUUUUCUCUAUCUUGCUUUCUCCAGUAAUAACCUAUGACCACUGAGUCCCCCCACUUGACUGUAAAUGCCAUGGAAGCAGGAACUCCUAUCAUUCAGUCUACUGCCUGGAAUAGAGGAUCCGUAAAUGUUUGCUGAAUGCAUGUAUGUGUGCCUCUUGGACAAGGUGCUCAGAAUGUCAUGUGAACAAAUGCCUUUACUGUGACAUAAAAGAAUUUUGGGACACGGUCUAGUGAGGAGUGAAGUAAAUUCUAAAAACAGUCUCAUGUUACUUAUUUGAAAACAUUAACUCAUUCCCAGUUUUGUUCUAUUCUUUUUUAGUGCUAUAGCAUAGGAUUAAGGGUGUGGGUUCUGCAAGCACAGAGCAACACUACCUGAUUUUGGUUUUGUUUUUAAAGAUUUUACUUAUUUAUUCAUGAGAGACACAGAGAGAGAGGCAGAGCCACAGGCAGAGGGAGAAGCAGGCUCCAUGCAGGGAGCCUGACACAGGACUCGAUCCCAGGUCUCCAAGAUCACGACCUGGGCCAAGGGCAGGCGCUAAGCCGCUGAGCCACCCAGGGGUCCCCACUACCUGGUUUUGGAUCCAGACCUCAUUACUUAUUAGCUGUGCAGAAAUAGAUUAAACAUUCUGUUUCCCAUGUGUAGAAUGGAUAUAAUAACCACACCUAUCUCACAGAGCUGUUGUUGCCGGUUAAAUGAGCUAAAAUACAAGGAAGUGCUUAGAAUGGUAAUUGGCACCCACUGUGAGCAUUAGCCCAUCUAGCUCCUUCCUGGACCAGCCUGCGCUGGUUAUCCUAUCAUCCUUCUAUUCCCAGGUUUAGGAUGUAUUGUCUUUUUCGGCCUUCUGGUUUCUGGAGAAGUGGGCAGAGUCCUG